rnacentral:lncRNA from 1 species
AGACUACAAACAUUUGAGAAUCGUAGAUUACUAGUCCCAAUGUCAUGCAUCUUAUGCAAACUAUCAACCAUGGCACAAGAAAUGUCCAUGUGCUUAUGUAGCUUCUUAAACUCCUCACUAAGGGAAGUAAGGAUUAAGCAUUUGGCUUGUAAGUCAUCCUCAUAGUAUCUAGCAUAAUUUUGACACUCCUCAUUUGAAGCUAGUUUCGUAGGAGGUACAUGAGGAGGGGAUUGCUUGAGCAUAUACGAUAUGUUAUUCAUCUUUGAGACAUUCUCAAUGUGAUGAUACCAAGCAAGGAAACGUUGGCUCUUAAGGCUCUUUUUGUCAAUUAUAAUGGUAGGUGUAAUUUUAGGUAUGUCGUUGACUACAUAACAUAACAAAAAUCGUAUUAGAUUGUUGAUUUUAAAAAACUACUUCAUUGGGUCUUAAUAUUACCACCCUCUAAUUUUGGCAAAUUCCACAUCCCUCAAUGGAAUCCAAGAGUUAUGUUGAACUCUUAGCAGGAUAUGGGAGGGUCAUCAUUACCAAGCCCACCUCACAAUGAUAUGAUGUUGGUUAGCGACAAUAAUGAUGAGAGAAUAAUGCCUUAGUCAUUUACAACUCUGGUACUUACCCAUCUAGUUUGGCUUCUAGAGAAUGAUGCCUCAUAGUGAUAUGAUGUUCGCACCAUUGCACUUAAUUAAGUCAUUCCCACCAUGCUAGUUCAUGUAGGGGUUCGAGAAUAACCUCACAAUAUGAUGUUGGCCAUCCUCGUGCCUACCUCAUCACAUCAUGUAUGUACAUAUGGACUCCUCCUGAAUGUAAGUGAUAUGAUAUUAACUAGCACUCAAAUUAACCCUCUUUUUAUCAAUUGUAGCAAAGUAUGUAAGUAGGGAUCGUUCUAGGCUGGGGAUUAUGAGGGAUUGCUAAAUCACUUGAAAACUGACUCAAAUACGUAAAAACAAGUUUAAAACACUAAACUAGACUCAAAGAAUGCAAAACUAAACUUUAACACACCAAAAUAAACCAAAAGACUCAAAACAGCAAACAAAGACUGAAAACUGCCUUGAAAACACUUUCUGGGCAGUUUCUGACACCAAGGAAAAAUUUGGACGAAAAUUGGUUAUAACUUGACUCAAGACACUUAAAAACACAAACUAAAUUGAUUUCUAACUAAUCUAACACUUCAAAAUAAAUGGGGAUUUGGUUUUGACGAAAAUUGCAAACAAAAACAAAACUUGUAAAUUGAACAGAUUCUAAAACGAAUUUGGUUGAAUUGAAGGGAUGGAAAACUAGCUAAGGGGUUAUUUUCCACACAUGUCACACUUGCAUACAAAACGAUUUCUAAUUCCAAUUCAAUAAACCAUGAAUACUCAACACUCCAAGUUAAUUAGGUCCGCUUAAAUUAACUUUCAGAUUUCCCUUAUGUCAAUGAAUUGGACGGAAAAAGCGCAUCGCAAUCAACUAUUCCUCAAAAGUUUUCUAUAUGAAAGCGCAUAAUAAAGAUACAAUAAAAAAUCAUUACGUUCAAUGGAAAUCAUAAGUCUUGACGAGGCACUCGUAACUAUGAAAGCGCAUGAAACUUAUGCCAAGAAUUUACUUAACACAAUUGUGAUCAACAACUUUUACUACUUGUGAAUAUAAGUUCAUAACGAUUAGGUGAAAUUUCCUUAUAUUCUAGCAUUAGAUUUAUGCAUGAAAAUUAAGCGUGCACUCUCAACCAACACACACAAAUCAGUUGAAUUCAAAUAGAUAAGCAAAUUGAAUCCACAACUUAUGAAACGCAAUUAGAAGUAAUAAAAUCAUAUAGCAAGCAUAAACAUGGUUUCGAAUCCCCCCUAGCCAAGGGGGGUUUAGUUCCUCAUACUCGCGAAGCAAAGAUACAUAAAUUUAGACAUUAAAAUUCAAAGAAAGAGAACACCUAAAACGCUCCAACUUCGCAGCAGGUGCAUCCACGAUUCCUCCUUCCUCCUUGCUGCGACACAGAGACUUUGGAUAGGUUUUGGGUGAUAUUUAUAUGGGGGAAACAAUAUGGGAUGGUAUGGUAGUGGUUAUGGUUGAUGGGUGGUGCGGCAAGGGGUUGUUUUUGGCAGAAAUUUGGGAGAAUGGUGGUGGAAGGCUACGACAAAGGGCAAGGCAGAUUUCUGGUGUGAAUUUGGAAUUAUGAGAGGUGGUGGUGUGCGGCAAAGGUGUAGAGAUAUAUAUAUAUAUAUAUAUAAGCACCAAAAACCCUAGCAAAUCAGAUUAGGGUUUCUAGAAAACCAAAUCCAUCAGAAAAUAGGUUAAAACAAUCAGAUUUUGAAUGGGAAAAGGCCUAGGGUGCUGCUGGAUGGAUAGGGUAAAGGAUUGGCCUUCUAGAAUGCCUUGCAAGGCAAGGAAAAGGGUUUCUAGAAAAGGAGAUGUGCUGCAGGUUUAGGGGAAUAUAGAUAGGGCUUCUAGAAAGCCCAACACCAAGAAGAAAUAAGCCCUAACCCACGACAAGGAUGAGAAAUUAUUCUAGAACCUUUCUUUGUGUCUUCCAACGCUUAGGAACCUUCUAAUGUUGCUAAAACUCAAGGCUAUUUAGGUUUAGGAAAGAUCAACCCAAAGUGGAAACUUUUAGGCUUAGCUUUCCUACUUCAAGUAGGAAACCUCGUUUGAGUAGGAAUCUUCAUUCUUCUAGGAAUCCAUCUUCAACUAGGAAUCCCUCGUUGAUUAGGAAUCCUUCUUCAAUUAGGACUCCCUCGUUGAUUAGGAAUCCUUCUUCAAUUAGGACUCCUCCUUGGACUAGGAAUCCUCAAAUCUUCAAAUCUUCAAUUUCAUCCAAACCUUGUGUUCCAAGCAUGUACUAUUCAAUCCACGCUCACUUUUGCUCCAAAAAGCUCCAAAUUGCCUCAUUUUAUGUAAUAUGCCCUUAAAACCUGAAAACACAUGAAAAUAGCUUAAAAGACUACUUUAACUAAGAAAACAUAACGAAAAUGCAUAAGAACUAGCUAACUAAGGAGCAUAAAUAUGCUCCUAUCAAAUUCCCCCACACUUAGCUUUUGCUAGUCCUCGAGCAAAACAAAGAAACAAAAGAAAAACAAAAUGAAACAAAACAAACAAACAAAACCUAACCCUUCCAACGUUUGCCUCAGGGAUUUCCAAUACACAUGACAUAUUAAAAAUCAUCCUUCCCACAGAUUUUAGUCAUCUUCACACUUAAGCACAUACUUAAUCAUAGUCACCACGUACUAGUUCACAUUCAACCAAUUAAAACAUGAUUUUGAAUGUAGUAACAUGCCUUAGAGAAUUUGCUCACUUCCUUACUAGAUAUGCACUCAAUUUUCACUCAGAUUUUCUAACUACACACCCUAUACUAGUUAUAUGUGAGAAGAUUGAUGUAGAUAUAAAAACGAACGCUCACAUAUAUAUAUAUAACAAAGAAAGCAUUUUCUGGAGUUAAAUAACAUGUUUAGAUAUGAUCUCAUGAAUGGAAUGCUACUACUUAGAUGCGAGAACCAGUGACACCAUAUGCUCAUACCAAUUCUAAACUCCACAAAUUGAAACACACAGCACUCAAGAUUGAAGUCAAGGGUUGUAACGGGGCUAAGGGUAUUGGCUAACAAAGAAAGGUAAAGGAUAAACAAACGUUCUUAAAACAAUAGUAAGCAAAGCAAUGAAAUUGACACUUAGAAUUCACUUUUGACUGCAAAAAUCAACCUUAAACACAAAGGGAAAGUUCAUGCAACACUUAGGGUCAAAUACAAUGUUUUGGACCCUUUAUUCAACAACCAACACUUUAGAGCUCCACUUCACAUUUUUUCAACUCUUUUUCAUACUUUUCACCACUUUUUCGUUUAUCCUUUCUAUUUUCCAUGAAUUUUUUUUUCUUUUUUUUUUGUUUUUUUUUUGUUUUUUUUCUACCCAUGCCUCAUUUAAGACUUUGGCACACACACACAAAGGAUCACUUUCCCCCACACUUGUUUUCUGCCAUACAUUGAUCAAAAGGAAUUCUUUUUUGAGUCAUGCUUACUAUGCUUCAAGAACAAAGGUAAGGAUGGUCCUAAUCUAGGCUAGGUACGGAUCAUGUGGGUGAACAAACAAUAUAGGCUAAACAAGGCUCAACGGGGUUAAACCUACAAAAACAAAUGCAUGGAAUGAAGGCUUUUUGGCUAUGGUGGUACUACUAAACAACUUCAUCUCGAAUAUGUGUCAUGCAAUUCAAUAACAUGUUUUGAAUGAAAUAGGCAUGAGUUCUAGCAUUUGGAACUGAAUAAUGAAACGCCUUCUAAGCAGAAACCAAGCAAAGAAUAAUGAAAUCAGGCAACGACUUUAGAAAACAAGAAUGCACAGAUUUUAACUCUCCAAAUAAACGUUUAGGCUCAAGUCUCACAAGGUUGUAGCGUUAGUUUGAGUUCCUUCCUUCAAGCAUGUUACAAAAACUAAUUUUUCCUUUGUGAUUACAUGUGAAUUCAUAAGUUAUAACCACAACCAAGCAUAAACCAAAGAGUAAAUCGAACUUUCAUCCAUGUUUACAACUCUCUUUAACAGUCAUGCAAUUAAAAACUGAAUCCUCAUCAUUGUGUUGGAAGGUACCCUAAGACACAAACAAACACACAAAACAACUUUAAAACGACUCUUUUUGGUUUUUUUUUUCAAAACAUUUUUUUUCAAAUUUUUUCUGGGAUUUUCGGAUUUUUAUGUAAAACACACUAAAAUGCAUCAAAACAGCCUAAAAGCACCUAAAAACAGCAAGGAACAACAUUGGAAAUUAUGGGUGAUACAACCCUACGAAUUUGCAUCAAAACACUUUGGUUACCCCCCACACUUAAAUCAAACAUUGUCCUCAAUGUUUCAAGCAUAAACUAACACAAAUAACAAAUAAACAAACAAACAGCAACUAACAUAAUAAACAUGGCAGAAACGAAAUAAACAACAAAGAGAAGGGUGUAGGAACGUAAAUCUGGAAUUGGAGUGAUUCCUUGGUCUUCCUUUGUUGCAUGCAUAGGUUGCCUCCCAAGAAGCGCUUUCUUUAACGUCUUGCAGCCGGACGAUGCUCCAUUGAAGGUUUAUGGAACCCCACGGCAUGGAGGGGUUUUUCCACAACCUGUCAUACGAAAUACUUCAUGCUUUGGGUCCUUGAAUGGAAUGGGAUAAUGAUCGUUUCUUAUUGUCAUGUUUUGCUUCUCUAACUCAACACGAACUCUCCCACCACGUUCACUUCGAUUAGGUACCUGCACCAUACAAGGUAGCAACCUAUUAGUUGAAAUGGGAAUCGAAAUUGGAAUAGGUGGCUUACCUUUGUACGGCAAAGAAGUGGUAUCAUUAUGGACAGAUGCACAAGGGGUGCACUCGGCCAGAUUUGGUGAUUUCAAGGUUGGGGCCGUGCACUCUUUGUUGUUCACUCCAAUUCCUUCCUCGAUGGUGGGUUGUGGUACAUUCUUCUUGACUAGUGUUGAACAUUCCUGCCCUAUAUUUUCAAUUACAUUAAUAGCACAACAAGAAUGAACAUCAUUAGUAUUCUCAACCGAUUCAGAAAUCUUAAAGUUAAUCAUAUCACCACCAAAGGCCAUAGUUACUGCUCCCUUGGCCACGUCAAUCUUGGUUUGAGCCGUUUUCAUGAAUGGUCAUCCAAGUAAGAGUGGUGAUGGUGGAGAGUGGGUUGAGUCCUCUAUAUCAAGCACAUAGAAAUCUGCAGGAAAAAUCAAGUGGUCUACCUGCACCAAAACAUCUUGCAACACUCCUUUGGGAUAUGCAUUAGAUCGAUCGGCUAAUUGAAUAAUAACUCCAUCAUUUUUAAGCUUUCCUAGAUUCAUAGAUGCAUAAACAGCAUAUGGCAUGACAUUUAUAGAUGCACCUAAAUCUAACAUAGCAUGAUCAAACCUCGUAUUGCCAAUAACACAAGGGAUAGUGAAACUACCUGGAUCUUUGCAUUUAGGUGGUAACUUUCUUUGCAACAAUGCAGAUACAUUCUCACUUACGUGUACCACCUCUUUCUCCCGAAUCCGUUUCCUUGUUGUACAAAGCUUCUUAAAAAACUUGGCAUACUUCGGGAUUUGCUUUAUAGCAUCAAGGAGUGGGAUAUUGACAUGCACCUUCCUAAACGUCUCGAGAACAUCUUUCUCCUAUUCUUCGUUCUUGGCUUGCAAAAAUCUGCUAGGAAACGGUACAUUCAAAGGAAUGACAUUAGAAUUAACUUGAAUUGGACCUUCCUUACCUAUGGUGGCCGAAUUGGAAUGCUUGGGUGGUUGCGGCAAGGGUGUUUCUACCCUUGCCGUGGCCUUUGCUUGGUUCUCCUCCCCAAUUUGCAACUUCUCGUCCUCCUUGGGGGCAGAUUUCGAUGGUUGUGGCUCAGUUCCUACUUCUUUCCCGCUCCUUAGCAUGAUGGCCUUGGCAGUUUCAAAUCAUCCCCUCGGAUUGACAACAGUUGAACUUGGCAACUUGCCUUGCUCUCGAAAUUGGCCCAUGAACUCUGCAAUCUGCCCUACUUGCUUCUCCAACUCAUCCAUCCUUUUGUCUCUAUUUUGCAUACCAUGCGCCAUAGAAGUUAGUAAUUGAAAAAUCUGAUCAUUAUCAAUGGACGAACCUGAAUUGGUUUGGGUAGGUUGUGCUUGAGGUUGUGUGGGUGCAAACGGCUUUUGAUAGAAACCCGGGGGUUGUUGCCUAAAUGCGCUUUGUUGUUGGCCUUGUUGGGGUUCUCGCCAUUUGAAGUUUGGAUGAUCCCUCCAACCGGGAUUGUAAGUAUUAGAAAAGGGAUCACCUCUUUGUUGGUAUGGCUACCCAAAACCCACGGCAUUGAGGGUCUCCCACCCUCCGUUCUCAAUCAAUUGUGGGCACUUGUCCGUAUGGUGUCCUUGCAUGGAACAUACGCCACACACACUUACAUUCUGUACUUUUGGCCCUUCCACAACCUGAGAAAGAAGAGUAGUAAGGUUAGCCAUUUGAUUUUGAAGUUCGGAUAUGGCACUUACCUCAUUCACUUGAUGUUGCCGUGGGGUACUCCUUUGUCCAACACCUUCGUAUUGUUGAGCGUUCAACGCUCGAUUAGCUAUCAAUGUCUUUGCAGCUGUGGGGGUCUUGUCCACCAAAGCUCCUCCCGCCGAGGCAUCUAGCAUUUGAUGUUCGAUUGGUAGAAGCCCUUCGUAGAAGUAUUGUAGAAGAAGCUUCUCCUUUAUUUGAUGCUGUGGACAAGAAGCAACAAGAGAUUUAAAACGUUCAUAAUACGUAGGAAAAGACUCACCUUCAUCUUGUUGAAUUCCACUUAUCCUUUUUCGUAGGAGAGUGACUCGAGAAGUUGGGAAAAACUUCUCCAAGAAAGCCCGUUUCAUGCUCUCCCAAGAUGUGACCGUUCCGGGAGCUAAUUCAUACAACCAAUCUUUCACCUUUUCCAUGAGAGAAAAGGGAAAGGCCUUUAUCUUCAAUAUGCUCCCGUCAACAUUCAUUGGAGUCAUGCUUGAACACACCACCUCGAACUCUUUCAAGUGCUUGUUAGGAUCCUCUAUGGACAACCCAUGGUACUUCGGAAUGUGGUGUAGCAAACUUAACUUCAACUCGAAUUCCUCGGUCUUUCCUUGGGCAGCCGCGGGAUAUUGAAUACAUAGAGGUGCGGCAUUGUCCAAUCCCAAAGCCGAAAGCUCCUUGAUUGUACGAUUGUCUUGUGCCAUGGCUUCCUCUACUUCACCCACUCUCGCCGUGGGUUCCUCUUCCUCAAACUCAACUUCGGCUUCUGAAUUUGAACUUGAUUCACUAGGUUCUGGAUUCUUCCUUUUUCGUCUCAAUUCUCGCUCGAAAUCGUCGUCAAAGUCCAAGAUGUGUUCACAAAUCGGAUGAGAACUCCGAGUCAUAAACUAGUACCUAAAACAAGAAACAAAAACAAAGUCAGAAUCUGGAAUUAAUUAAAACAAUCCAAAGGAUUAGCAAUGUUGCUAAUCCCCAGCAACGGCGCCAAAAUUUGAUAUGAUAUUAACUAGCACUCAAAUUAACCCUCUUUUUAUCAAUUGUAGCAAAGUAUGUAAGUAGGGAUCGUUCUAGGCCGGGAAUUAGGAGGGAUUGCUAAAUCACUUGAAAACUGACUCAAAUACGUAAAAACAAGUUUAAAACACUAAACUAGACUCAAAGAAUGCAAAACUAAACUUUAACACACCAAAAUAAACCAAAAGACUCAAAACAGCAAACAAAGACUGAAAACUGCCUUGAAAACACUUUCUGUGCAGUUUCUGACACCAAGGAAGAAUUUGGACGAAAAUUGGUUAUAACUUGACUCAAGACACUUAAAAACACAAACUAAAUUGAUUUCUAACUAAUCUAACACUUCAAAAUAAAUGGGGAUUUGGUUUUGACGAAAAUUGCAAACAAAAACAAAACUUGUAAAUUGAACAGAUUCUAAAACGAAUUUGGUUGAAUUGAAGGGAUGGAAAACUAGCUAAGGGGUUCUUCUCCACACAUGUCACACUUGCAUACAAAACGAUUUCUAAUUCCAAUUCAAUAAACCAUGAAUACUCAACACUCCAAGUUAAUUAGGUCCGCUUAAAUUAACUUUCAGAUUUCCCUUAUGUCAAUGAAUUGGACGGAAAAAGCGCAUCGCAAUAAACUAUUCCUCAAAAGUUCUCUAUAUGAAAGCGCAUAAUAAAGAUACAAUCAAAGAUCAUUACGUUCAAUGGAAAUCAUAAGUCGUGACGAGGCACUCGUAACUAUGAAAGCGCAUGAAACUUAUGCCAAGAAUUUACUUAACACAAUUGUGAUCAACAACUUUUACUACUUGUGAAUAUAAGUUCAUAACGAUUAGGUGAAAUUUCCUUAUAUUCUAGCAUUAGAUUUAUGCAUGAAAAUUAAGCGUGCACUCUCAACCAACACACACAAAUCAGUUGAAUUCAAAUAGAUAAGAAAAUUGAAUCCACAACUUAUGAAACCCAAUUAGAAGUAAUCAAAUCAUAUAGCAAGGGAGAUGUUCUGCAGGUUUAGGGGAAUAUAGAUAGGGCUUCUAGAAAGCCCAACACCAAGAAGAAAUAGGCCCUAACCCACGACAAAGAUAAGAAAUUAUUCUAGAACCUUUCUUUGUGUCUUCCAACGCUUAGGAACCUUCUAAUGUUGCUAAAACUCAAGGCCAUUAAGGUUUAGGAAAGAUCAACCCAAAGUGGAAACUUUUAGGCUUAGCUUUCCUACUUCAAGUAGGAAACCUCGUUUGAGUAGGAAUCUUCAUUCUUCUAGGAAUCCAUCUUCAACUAGGAAUCCCUCGUUGAUUAGGAAUCCUUCUUCAAUUAGGACUCCCUCGUUGAUUAGGAAUCCUUCUUCAAUUAGGACUCCUCCUUAGACUAGGAAUCCUUCUUGAACUAGGAAUCCUCAAAUCUUCAAAUCUUCAAUUUCAUCCAAACCUUGUAUUCCAAGCAUGUACUAUUCAAUCCACGCUCACUUUUGCUCCAAAAAGCUCCAAAUUGCCUCAUUUUAUGUAAUAUGCCCUUAAAACCUGAAAACACAUGAAAAUAGCUUAAAAGACUACUUUAACUAAGAAAACAUAACGAAAAUGCAUAAGAACUAGCUAACUAAGGCGCAUAAAUAUGCUCCUAUCAGUAAGCACAUAUUUUGAACUUCCCCAUGAUAGGGUGAAGCCGGUGUAUAAGUCACAAAUGAUUGGAGCCCACCACAGUGGAAGGCCUACAAAGAGAUGUUCAAAGCAUAUCUCGCUUAUCAACUUAAUAUUCGUUUUGUUGAGGGAGUAGUGUUGGGCUACAUCAAUUUCAUUUUAAUCUUAUUAAAAGAACUUGGGCCUAUCACAACCAUUGGUCCAAGUUUAUAUGAAUUAGUAGUAUAUAAUACUCCCACAAUUUUGAUGAAACAAGCGAGACUAUAUGAAACUACUAACGAAUGCAUAGCAUCCUCAUAUGGACUAUAUAGUCAUUUUAGGUCUUAGGAUGAUUACGAACCGUUUGAUUUGAUCCAACACGAGCCUUGUGUUGGACCUUGGGUCUAAGGUAGGUAGUUGUUGAUUUUAGUUAUGCGUUUAAUCUAAUUAAACCAUCAUUUCCUAUUGGGCGUUGGACCCAACUAUUCCAAUUUACAUGCAAAUAAACAAAAAAGAAUACUUGAAAUAAAGAGAAGGGCUUAUGCCCUUUUACAACACAUUUGAACUAAUCAAAUUACAUUCAUAUCUAAACUACUUAACCCAAACAUUCAUAAUGUAAAGCGGCUAAUCACAUAGCUCAAUUAUCAAGGCCUUUGGUUCAUAAUCACCCUUUUUUUAAUCAAUCGCAUUAACUAAGAAAGCAAAUUAAACAGUUGGUUUUCAGAUUUAUAGAAUUGAUUUAAAUGGAACUAAAUGAAAUAAAAAUUCAAUUCUCAUUAAAGAGACAAAACCAUUUUGUUAUCUUCAUAAUUUGGGCCAAAAAUGCAAUGACUUCAACACAAUGCAAAAACAUAAACUUUUGGGGUCAUUUUUUAAAAACUCAAAAGUCCACAACUUCGUGUAAUUACAACUAGAACCCAAAAAUUUCAACAAUUACAAAAACUUCAUUAAAGGAGCAAAACAAUUUGUCCUUCAGUGAUUUUGGGUCUUUACAUAAAAACGUAAACUUUUGGGCCAAAGUGCAAAUACACAAAAGUAUCAAAACUUUAUGUAAUUGCAUAAAAGCCCUAAAAGUACCCCUACUAAGGGGUGGCCGGUUUUAGAUAGUGUAAAGGGAUGGUUGGUUUGGUGAAAAUUCAAAAUUUUAUGAAGUGUUGAAAAAGUGAAAGGUAUUGGUUGAAUAGUUGAUUGGCAUGGUUGAAUAGUUUGACUAGUAUGGGUUGUAAGAUAUAGGUAAGGUGUAUAAUUUAUUAAACAAUAAAAAUCAUCCAUCACCAAUCAAUAACAAACCAAAACUUCAUGAAAAACAUCAAACACAUUGAAUCAAAGCACCAAACCUUUUGUUCUUGGUAUGAACAUCAAGAACAAAGUAAGAACAUUGAAGAACACACAUGAAAACUCAUAGGAGCUCCAUGAAUGUUUUCACUCAAUUAAAAUUCAAAAUUUACACUACUCAAAAGAGGGUUAACAUCCUAGGGGACAUAUGGGUUCCUAAUGUCACUCUAAAACACUUUUACCAAGACAAAGAAGAACCCAAAAAUCCACCCUUUGGAUUUGGCCGAAUUUCCCCACAUACAUGGCACCAAAUUUUAGUUCCAAUAUUCAUGCUUUAAUGAACUACAUCUACAACAUUUGAUAUGCUAAAUUUUCAAGCAAAAUUUAUAUUCCAAAAGCAAGAACAAAGCUUGUAAUAUUUACAACAUUUAAAUCACAAACCAUGAAAAAACAUAAAACCCAAAAGGAUUCACCAUACACUAGACCUAGGUCCUGAUACCACUUGAAGGAAAAAUUUGUCCUAGCUAAGAACAUAUGAGAACAUUUGAACACAUAAGCAAACUAAUAACACUUUAAAGUAGGCAUGCAUUAAAAAACAAUUCUAAAACCCAUGACUCUCAAAGCCUAGUGAAUGGUGAACCAAAAGACUCUUUAACAAGUUAAAGAGAAGAGAGAGUUUGAGUUUCAUUACCCUUGAAGCUCAUCCUUGUUUACACAAGGGAUUCACCCAAGUGGAGGGCCUUCAAGUCACCUCCUUUACUCCUUAUAUGGUUACUUCUUUGCUUCUCCUUUGCUCCUUGAGGAUUUGAGGAAAGGAACUCCAAGAAUACCAAAAGUUUGGUGUCUCUAAGUCUCCACACCAAGGAUGAGGUGUGAAGAUGAAAUGGGUGACUUAGAGGAAGGAAGAUUGCUAGCUAUUUUUCUCUAAAUGUGGCCUGCCUCUUUGCAAGACAAAGAGAGAAAGAGUUUUGCUCUUUUGCCUCAAAGAAAACCCUUGAUGUGGUAAAGCUAUAAAGUUCCUUUUAUAGCACCUCACAUUUGAGUGGCAAACUUAUAAUUAUGCCAAGUUCACUACCACUCACCCUA